rnacentral:rRNA from 1 species
UACAGAGGGUGCGAGCGUUUGUUCGGAAUUAUUGGGCGUAAAGCGCAUGUAGGCGGCUUGUUAAGUCACGUGUGAAAGCCCCAGGCUCAACCUGGGAAGUGCGCGUGAAACUGGCGAGCUUGAAUCCUGGAGAGGGUGGCGGAAUUCCAGGUGUAGCGGUGAAAUGCGUAGAUAUCUGGAGGAACACCGGUGGCGAAGGCGGCAUCCUGGACCGGUAUUGACGCUGAGGCGCGAAAGCUAGGGGAGCAAACGGG